GCCCUCGUAGCUCAGUGGACAGAGCAUUGGCCUCCUAAGCCAUGUGCCCAGGUUCGAAUCCUGGCGGGGGCACCA
rnacentral:tRNA from 1 species